UCAUGUCCACCUGGAUGAAGGAGAAGCUGGGUGAGCCAUGAGAUGCCUCAAAUGCCAGAGGUUCCUGCCCUGCCAAAGCUGUAGCCUCAGUCCACUUCCUGUCUUGUUCCUCUUCUCACCACCAGACGAUGAGGCCUCAGGGAUUGCUGUCCCUGCUAAACCCAUCUUUCUCAGCCACUGUUCCAGAUUCAUUCAUUUAUGCUUGUUGGGCUCCCACUUGGGAGUACAGCUCUCUAUGUUGAGGGGUAGUAGAAAACAGGAUAGAAAGAACAUACUGCAAAUGGGGAUUCCGGAACUGAGCAAAUGAAGGACUUACCCUUCCAGGCCGACUGCCCACUGUCCCACCUGGGCCUGCCCCAUGCUAGCCAACCAGCACAUCCUCCCCACAGACUUGGCUGUGCCCGCCACCGCACCCCCCUUCAGCUCUCCAAGAACCAGCUCAAUGCUUGCCAGCCACAUGACACCCUGUUGAAUGGCUCCAGCCUUGCCUUUGCUCCAGCCCUGAAGCCCACAGCACUUCCUGCUGACCACAGAAGAUCAGCCCUGAGCUAACAUCCAAUGCCAAUCCUCUUCUUUCUCGCUAAGGAAGAUCGGCAACCCUGGGCUAACAUCCGUGCUCAUCUUCCUCCACUUUAUAUGGGACGCAGCCACAGCAUGGCUUGACAAGCAGUGCGACGGUGCGCGCCCGGGAUCCAGACCUGUGGAACCCUGGGCCGCCGAAGCGGAGCGCGCGCACUUAACCACUGCACCACCGGGCCAGCCCCUCACAUCCCCUUCUUAAAAAGUUCUUCGAGGCAGCGGGCAAGGCGCACAUGACCCCGGGAGUGAGCCACGGACAGGGGUAGACGGCCCAGAGAGUCGG